rnacentral:rRNA from 1 species
UAAGUACCUGGAGGAAGAGAAAGCAAAUGCGAUUUCCUGAGUAGCGGCGAGCGAAACGGAACAUAGCCCAAACCAAGAGGCUUGCCUCUUGGGGUUGUAGGACAUUCUAUACGGAGUUACAAAGGAACGAGGUAGACGAAGCGACCUGGAAAGGUCCGUCGUAGAGGGUAACAACCCCGUAGUCGAAACUUCGUUCUCCCUUGAAUGUAUCCUGAGUACGGCGGAACACGUGAAAUUCCGUCGGAAUCUGGGAGGACCAUCUCCCAAGGCUAAAUACUCCCUAGUGAUCGAUAGUGAACCAGUACCGUGAGGGAAAGGUGAAAAGCACCCCGGAAGGGGAGUGAAAGAGAUCCUGAAACCGUGUGCCUACAAAUAGUCAGAGCCCGUUAACGGGUGAUGGCGUGCCUUUUGUAGAAUGAACCGGCGAGUUACGAUCCCGUGCGAGGUUAAGCUGAAGAGGCGGAGCCGCAGCGAAAGCGAGUCUGAAUAGGGCGUUUAGUACGUGGUCGUAGACCCGAAACCAGGUGAUCUACCCAUGUCCAGGGUGAAGUUCAGGUAACACUGAAUGGAGGCCCGAACCCACGCACGUUGAAAAGUGCGGGGAUGAGGUGUGGGUAGCGGAGAAAUUCCAAUCGAACCUGGAGAUAGCUGGUUCUCCCCGAAAUAGCUUUAGGGCUAGCCUUAAGUGUAAGAGUCUUGGAGGUAGAGCACUGAUUGGACUAGGGGUCCUCAUCGGAUUACCGAAUUCAGUCAAACUCCGAAUGCCAAUGACUUAUCCUUAGGAGUCAGACUGCGAGUGAUAAGAUCCGUAGUCAAAAGGGAAACAGCCCAGACCGCCAGCUAAGGUCCCAAAGUGUGUAUUAAGUGGAAAAGGAUGUGGAGUUGC